UACGAAGGGGGCUAGCGUUGCUCGGAAUCACUGGGCGUAAAGCGCACGUAGGCGGAUCUUUAAGUCAGGGGUGAAAUCCCGAGGCUCAACCUCGGAACUGCCUUUGAUACUGGGGAUCUCGAGUCCGGAAGAGGUUGGUGGAACUCCGAGUGUAGAGGUGAAAUUCGUAGAUAUUCGGAAGAACACCAGUGGCGAAGGCGGCCAACUGGUCCGGUACUGACGCUGAGGUGCGAAAGCGUGGGGAGCAAACAGG
rnacentral:rRNA from 1 species